ACCUGAUCCCAUCCCGAACUCAGUAGUGAAACGAUGCAUCGCCGAUGGUAGUGUGGGGUUUCCCCAUGUGAGAGUAGGUCAUCGUC
rnacentral:rRNA from 1 species